UAAAGGCGUAAAUGAUGAAAGGUUGUAUAAUUAUAAUCUGCUUCACAAUUAACAUUUUUUGGAAAUUGUUGUAUUUCAUUUCAAGACAUUCGCAUAGGCCUAAAUCACAAUCAUUGUUAUUUCUUGUUAAAUUCAAUUUUUAAUUUGAUAUCACCCAGCGAAUGCAAGACAAAGCCUUUCGUCGUUUAUAAUUGAUUGCAAGUUAUGGAGCAAAUACAUCAACGAUUGUCUCAAAGGAAUUUAACAGGACGAGAAAUGACUGUGUUAAAUCCCAAGGCACAAAUGGAUUGGCGCGGCCAUUGCAUUCAAAGAAGAUGCAGUGCGUGCUUCGUGAAAUGCUUUCGUAUAAAUUCACUGUUUUUGUAGUUGCCCGACCUUUGUCCCUUCUGCUCAGAUUUGGAAGUGUCUCCGUUGCAAAACAGAUUAAAACCUAGGCCCUCACUUAUGGUUUGUGUAGUUGGUGGAGAGUGGCCAUAAAAGAUAUUGAAGUUCCCUCAAGACAUUUAGAAUCAAGCAACUUUUUGACAAUACUUGAGCAACUUAGACAGGCCAUGUUCCUGAAAUACUUCAAAAGGUACACUUAUUCAUUUACUUUGUUUUUUUGCAUUUUGCCACUUUCCUGUGAUUCUUCUGCAAUUAAGAGCUUUUAAGAACAAUUAAGAACUGCCAGAAGCUGUUUUUGCAAGUUUUAAAUGAUUGGGAAAAGAACACUAUGUUGCAGCUGAACAAUCAAGCAACUUUUUAUUAAGAACCUGCCUUGCAGCUCUGUUUGGAUACUGCACGAUCUAAUCUAGUUUAGCUAAGAAUGCAUACUUCCAAAACUACCAUAGUGCUACCACGACAAAAAAGCCUCUGCAUAUCUUUAGUGAAGGCUGUGUCAUUAUUUUGUUUGAUAAAGUUUAAAUUUAUGAGUUAUCGUUAUCAUCAUGCUGUGCCUUUCAAUCUUUUUGCAUUUUAAAGAUGGGCAAUCUCAACGUCACAGAUUUUAGUUUAAGCUACACUCUAUUUGAUCUGUGUUUCUCUAUUUGAGCUACACUUUAUUAUAAUACAAUUUUUUAAGGCCUUAUAGGGCAACCCAAUAUAUUAACUGGAAAUGUUGAAACCAGUAAUUUUGAUGAAUUAAUCUAAUAAUUUUUUAAACUUUAUUUUGAGUAAAUUAUUCAAAAACAGAAAGCGCCAAUUUAAUAUGAAAUGAGGAGGAAAUUUAAGAAUGUACUCUUCACUAAAGUCUUUUAAAUUUUUAACGAAUCAAAGACAAGUAAUUCAAUGUCAGAUUUACUUUAAGUUUUCGUUUGAUAAAUUUUAAAAAGCCUCAAUGCCUGAAAUUGAUAAGCACUUUGUUUAUGAUAAAUCGGAAUUUUAUUGGUUUACUAAUAGAAUAGUCUGUUUUUCUUUUGAGGCUGGUUUUACUUUUAGUAAGAUAUUUGUCCCCUGAAAAAGAAAAUAAGUGAGGCUUUAACGCUUUGCUACAACCGUUCCUUCUAAACUUGCUUUGUCAACGUUAAGUUGAAAUAGCACUUGCUUUUCCUAAUUUUGAUAGAGUUUGAAACUGAUUCACAAACAAAAAACUACUUUGAAGUAUUAUCAAGCUCAUCAUAAUAUUCUUGUACUCAUGCGUAGCCCCAUUGAAAAUUUCGGAAAAACCAUUAAGCCAAUUAUGUUAAGCAAU